AUGGAGAGACUUGUUAAUGUUCAUUACAUUGACAAGGAGGCAUUCUUGAGUAACAAUGCCGACACGGGUGAGGAACCAUUGGUUUUUGAUACAAGCCCUAGCUAUGAGGAUGUUGUUGCAAAAGUGAGACAAGUUUUGAAGUGGAUGGACACCAAUGUUGAUGUUAAGUUAAUAGGAAGGUAUGAUGUUGGAGUUGGAGCCAAAUCUCGCUUGAAAAGUAUGCCUAUCACCUCGGAUUUGCAUUGGGAUGUAUACAAGGAAAAAGUAUCCCAAUCGGAAGACAAGUCACUUGAAUUGUUUGCCACCAAGGUUAAAUCUCCUCGGUUUACCUUUGAUUUGAACCGGUAUGUCUCUUCCCCAAUGGAUGACAUGAGCGUUGAGUUGUAUGCCCCCAAUGCUUCUAGCCAACCACCAACUAGCCAA
rnacentral:rRNA from 1 species